CUUAUCAAGAACAAAAAACCCUAGCUCUCAAAUUCAAAGCCAAAUCUUAAGAACUCACUAUCAAUCCAUUCAAAUUCAUUAUCCCAGGUAUGUUAGAUGUUCAUCCAUGGAGUCCAAUUAUCCUAUUUAAAUUAUAAAAUUUUGAUCUUUGCAAGUUAAUUGAUUUUAAAUUGUGAUUUCACCCAUGAAUAUCCAUGUACUAUUUAUUUUAUACCAUGAUUCAAUUAAAUUAUUGUUGUUAUUCAAUCCUCCAUGUUUUAAUAUUAUUAUUUAUUGAAUUAAACUAUGAUUUAUUACAAUUAUAUCGAAUUCAUUCUAUUUCUAUAAGUUCCAUAAUAUUCCUAUGAUUGUUUUAAACCAUGAACUAUAAGUGUUUGAUAAAAUGCCUACAAGAGUGAUUGAUUUAAUAAAAUCCUUCAUGAUUUGUCCCCCAAGAUUUUGUGUCAUUUUACCAUUAUUGUUUUUCAUUCCUGGGGUAUUGAAUACCUAAAAACCAUAGUUGUUUAUGUAGUGUAGUCUCAGUACAUUACAGAAUAGUUUUUAGAACAUACUAUGAGCAUUAUCAGAAUAGUCAAAUAUUAGUCAAUUAAACUCAAAAUAGUCUAGUAUUUCAAUGUCUUUCAGUUGGGAGUAGGAUUUAGCACCGAGCAAGUGUAGGGAUGGCGGCUUCCUCGUCAGAUAGGCAGAGUUGUUAGUAGCAGUCCCUAUACUUCAGAACUAUAUUGCCAGCAUAGGAUAUGAGAAGUCACCUGUCAGAUUAGUCUUGACUAUCUCGCAGGGGGUCACCCAUCAGUUCAGGAUUGACACCCUUAGUCCUUUGGACAUUAUAUCAGUUUAGUGGAUCCACACAACCAGUGUUAGUAACCAUGGCACGGUAUUAACACCCUUCCAACUGGGGUUACAGGUUGGAUCUCGAUUAGCUCAAAUUGGGGCAUGUCAGUUAGAUGAUGUCUCCCACAGUCUUAGAUACAACCUCAGUUAUAGUCCUAUUUCAGUUAUUCAGUCUUAGCAUUGUUUGACCAAAGCAUACAGAUUUUAGUUUUUUCAGUAUUUUAGUACACAGAUUUUACUCAGUUUAUGUUUAUGCAUGGUCAUGCAUCCUCAGUGUCUACACAUUUUCGCAUAUCUCCAGUAUUUACAGAUUUUCAUGCAUACUCAAUAUUUAUAGAUUUCUACAUAUUCCUAGUACCUAUAAAUUUCAUUCUCUCCAUUCAGUACUCCAUGUUUUACAUGCAUAUUCAGUUAAUUAUUAGUUCUGUUCAUGAAACCAUGUAUAUCAGCCUACCUCAUUUAGUAUACCAAUACAUUCAAAGUAUUGAUUACAUACCUUUUCCUUUGCGCUAUGAUGUAUUAUAUCAUAGGUGUUGACGCUCAGUUCUCAACUCAUGUUAGACUUAUCAGAUCUUCAGCAGUAAUAGUGGUGAGUCCUCAUACUUUGAGGACAGGCUUAUUUUAUUUUAUGUCUCAGUUUAGUAGUUAGUUGGAGUUAGUUGGGGCUUGUCCCAUCAACUCACAUUCAUUCAAUUUUAGAGGCUUAUCAGACAUUAGAAUUAGUUAUUCAGUAUUCAGACAUUAUAAUUUGUUAUCUAGUUUAUCAGUAUUUUAUCAGAUUCAGUCAAUUAUUUCUAUGGGCUC
rnacentral:lncRNA from 1 species